AGUUAAUUAGCUAAUAGCAUAUGCCUUGAAAGCACAAGAUAGAAGCUUAAAUCUUCUAUUAACUU
rnacentral:tRNA from 1 species